CAUUGAAGUGAUGAAAUGUAUUUUCGGAAUUUUAUAAAUGUCGACUAAUUAUACAGACUACAAUUAUCUGAUCAAUG